rnacentral:piRNA from 1 species
GGGCAGCUGGUGAUCGUUGGUCC